rnacentral:rRNA from 1 species
AGAUUGAACGCUGGCGGCAUGCCUUACACAUGCAAGUCGAACGGCAGCACGGGGGCAACCCUGGUGGCGAGUGGCGAACGGGUGAGUAAUGCAUCGGAACGUGCCCAGUAGUGGGGGAUAACUAGUCGAAAGAUUAGCUAAUACCGCAUACGACCUAUGGGUGAAAGCGGGGGAUUCGCAAGAACCUCGCGCUAUCGGAGCGGCCGAUGUCUGAUUAGCUAGUUGGCGGGGUAAAAGCCCACCAAGGCUUCGAUCAGUAGCUGGUCUGAGAGGACGACCAGCCACACUGGGACUGAGACACGGCCCAGACUCCUACGGGAGGCAGCAGUGGGGGAAUUUUGGACAAGUGGGCNCAAGCCUGAUCCAGCCAU